rnacentral:rRNA from 7 species
AGCAACAAAUGCCCUGCUUCCAGGAAAAGCCUCUAAGCAUCAGGUAACAUCAAAUCGUACCCCAAACCGACACAGGUGGUCAGGUAGAGAAUACCAAGGCGCUUGAGAGAACUCGGGUGAAGGAACUAGGCAAAAUGGUGCCGUAACUUCGGGAGAAGGCACGCUGACACGUAGGUGAAGUGAUUUACUCAUGGAGCUGAAGUCAGUCGAAGAUACCAGCUGGCUGCAACUGUUUAUUAAAAACACAGCACUGUGCAAACACGAAAGUGGACGUAUACGGUGUGACGCCUGCCCGGUGCCGGAAGGUUAAUUGAUGGGGUCAGCGCAAGCGAAGCUCCUGAUCGAAGCCCCGGUAAACGGCGGCCGUAACUAUAACGGUCCUAAGGUAGCGAAAUUCCUUGUCGGGUAAGUUCCGACCUGCACGAAUGGCGUAAUGAUGGCCAGGCUGUCUCCACCCGAGACUCAGUGAAAUUGAACUCGCUGUGAAGAUGCAGUGUACCCGCGGCAAGACGGAAAGACCCCGUGAACCUUUACUAUAGCUUGACACUGAACAUUGAGCCUUGAUGUGUAGGAUAGGUGGGAGGCUUUGAAGUGUGGACGCCAGUCUGCAUGGAGCCGACCUUGAAAUACCACCCUUUAAUGUUUGAUGUUCUAACGUGGACCCGUUACCCGGGUUGCGGACAGUGUCUGGUGGGUAGUUUGACUGGGGCGGUCUCCUCCUAAAGAGUAACGGAGGAGCACGAAGGUUGGCUAAUCCUGGUCGGACAUCAGGAGGUUAGUGCAAUGGCAUAAGCCAGCUUGACUGCGAGCGUGACGGCGCGAGCAGGUGCGAAAGCAGGUCAUAGUGAUCCGGUGGUUCUGAAUGGAAGGGCCAUCGCUCAACGGAUAAAAGGUACUCCGGGGAUAACAGGCUGAUACCGCCCAAGAGUUCAUAUCGACGGCGGUGUUUGGCACCUCGAUGUCGGCUCAUCACAUCCUGGGGCUGAAGUAGGUCCCAAGGGUAUGGCUGUUCGCCAUUUAAAGUGGUACGCGAGCUGGGUUUAGAACGUCGUGAGACAGUUCGGUCCCUAUCUGCCGUGGGCGCUGGAGAACUGAGGGGGGCUGCUCCUAGUACGAGAGGACCGGAGUGGACGCAUCACUGGUGUUCGGGUUGUCAUGCCAAUGGCACUGCCCGGUAGCUAAAUGCGGAAGAGAUAAGUGCUGAAAGCAUCUAAGCACGAAACUUGCCCCGAGAUGAGUUCUCCCUGAGACUUAGAGUCUCCUGAAGGAACGUUGAAGACGACGACGUUGAUAGGCCGGGUGUGUAAGCGCAGCGAUGCGUUGAGCUAACCGGUACUAAUGAACCGUGAGGCUUAACCUUACAACGCCG